rnacentral:rRNA from 1 species
UGGGGAAUUUUGGACAAUGGGCGAAAGCCUGAUCCAGCAAUGCCGCGUGUGUGAAGAAGGCCUUCGGGUUGUAAAGCACUUUUGUCCGGAAAGAAAUCCUUGGCUCUAAUACAGUCGGGGGAUGACGGUACCGGAAGAAUAAGCACCGGCUAACUACGUGCCAGCAGCCGCGGUAAUACGUAGGGUGCAAGCGUUAAUCGGAAUUACUGGGCGUAAAGCGUGCGCAGGCGGUUUGCUAAGACCGAUGUGAAAUCCCCGGGCUCAACCUGGGAACUGCAUUGGUGACUGGCAGGCUAGAGUAUGGCAGAGGGGGGUAGAAUUCCACGUGUAGCAGUGAAAUGCGUAGAGAUGUGGAGGAAUACCGAUGGCGAAGGCAGCCCCCUGGGCCAAUACUGACGCUCAUGCACGAAAAGCGUGGGGAGCAAAACAGGAUUAGAUACCCUGGUAGUCCACGCCCUAAAACGAUGUCAACUAGUUGUUGGGGAUUCAUUUCCUUAGUAACGUAGCUAACGCGUGAAGUUGACCGCCUGGGGAGUACGGUCGCAAGAUUAAAAACUUCAAAGGAAUUGACGGGGUCAUAGCUGUUUCCU